rnacentral:rRNA from 1 species
UGGAGUUGGGAAAAGUAUACAGUAACAAAAGAAAAUACAGUAGCAAACAGGUAUCAUGAUAGACCAACAAGUAGCAGGACAGAGGGUGGAACUCGUAUAGCCCUACCAAACUGGGACAAGAGCAUUGAUUGCACAUUUGGUGAACAAACAGCACCACAACAAAACCUUCAGUACGACCUUACAAAAAGAGAUUCAUUUACUGAACAUACUAGCUGCAAGACUAAAAACGACGGUUGCCGGGCGUUAAUUCUGGGUUACUACAGGCUAACGCAGGACGAACAUGUGGAGAUCUGGACGCAGAAACCGCGCACGAACCAGCGCCAGCAGCAGAAGACGCAGCGGCACCCAAUCCCCUGGCGCUCCUCCGCCAGCCAGAAGCUCCAAAUCCGCAAUCCGCGCCUCCCCAAACCCCGGAUCGCCGGAGAAUUCGGCUCGGAGAAGGCACAAAUCCGCCGCCCUCCCCUUCCCAAAAUCUCGCCAAAAUCGCCAGGGGGUUAA